rnacentral:rRNA from 1 species
CCCACAUUGGAACUGAGACACGGUCCAAACUCCUGCGGGAGGCAGCAGUGAGGAAUAUUGGUCAAUGGACGAGAGUCUGAACCAGCCAAGUAGCGUGAAGGAUGACUGCCCUAUGGGUUGUAAACUUCUUUUAUACGGGAAUAAAGUGAGGCACGUGUGCCUUUUUGUAUGUACCGUAUGAAUAAGGAUCGGCUAACUCCGUGCCAGCAGCCGCGGUAAUACGGAGGAUCCGAGCGUUAUCCGGAUUUAUUGGGUUUAAAGGGAGCGUAGGCGGACGCUUAAGUCAGUUGUGAAAGUUUGCGGCUCAACCGUAAAAUUGCAGUUGAUACUGGGUGUCUUGAGUACAGUAGAGGCAGGCGGAAUUCGUGGUGUAGCGGUGAAAUGCUUAGAUAUCACGAAGACUCCGAUUGCGAAGGCAGCUUGCUGGACUGUAA